rnacentral:rRNA from 1 species
UACGUAGGGUGCAAGCGUUGUCCGGAAUUAUUGGGCGUAAAGAGCUCGUAGGCGGUUUGUCGCGUCUGCUGUGAAAACCCGAGGCUCAACCUCGGGCCUGCAGUGGGUACGGGCAGACUAGAGUGCGGUAGGGGAGAUUGGAAUUCCUGGUGUAGCGGUGGAAUGCGCAGAUAUCGGAAGGAACACCGGUGGCGAGAGCGGCGCGCUGGAUCCCUUCUGACGCUGAGGCGCGAAAGCCAGGGGAGCGAACGGG